UACGUAGGGUCCGAGCGUUGUCCGGAAUUACUGGGCGUAAAGCGCACGUAGGCGGCUUGGUAAGUUAGAGGUGAAAGCCUGGAGCUCAACUCCAGAAUUGCCUUUAAGACUGCCGAGCUAGCAGGUGAGAGAGGUGAGUGGAAUUCCGAGUGUAGAGGUGAAAUUCGUAGAUAUUCGGAAGAACACCAGUGGCGAAGGCGGCUCACUGGCUCAUACUGGACGCUGAGGUGCGAAAGCGUGGGGAGCAAACAGG
rnacentral:rRNA from 1 species